ensembl:lincRNA
CAGGUUUGUAAAUUAAUAUUAAUAUGAAAUAGUCUAUAGAAAGUUUCGUAGCAUAUCAGUUGAAAGCAAUUAUCCAGGAAGAAUUUUUGUAUCUGAAUCAGUCUUGCAAAUGCAUCUCAUAUACUUUUUGAAAGGAAAUAAUUCUUCUGAUUUCAAAAGAUACAUUUAUCUUGGAAACACUAUUAUAUAUGUUCUUAUUUGACUGUCUAAAUCUACAGCUUGAACUGCUUCUUCCAGUGGUGCAUCUGAUUUUUAGUAUGUGGAUUCUGAGAGUAUUAAUCAAUUUUUUAUAAUGUUUGGUUUCCUUAUGUUUUCUAUUUCAGAGUACCCGAGUGGCCUUGGACCAUCUGGAGUCUGUGCCUGAGAAACUGAGCCUACUAGAAGAUUUCAAAGACUUCAGAGAUUCCUGCAGUUCAUCUGAGAGAACUGAUGGAAGAUAUUCUAAAUACAGAGUUCACAGAAAUUCUCUUCAGCAUCACCAAGAGGACAUCAAGUACAGAACCAAAAGUUUCAAAGGUGACAGAACCUUUCCAGAAGGUUCCCACACUCAUGGGUUAGAUCACUCAUCCUCUUGGCAGGAUCACAGUCGCUUCCUGUCUAGUCCAAGAUUUUCAUACAUGAACUCAUUUACCAAAAGAACUGUUGCUCCAGAUUCAGCUUCAAACAAGGAAGAUGCCACAAUGAAUGGAACAAGUUCACAAUCCAAAAAAGAGGAAUAUGAGAGCUAGAAAAGCAAAUGUAAUUUGUUAUUUUACAUGAGUGUUUUACAAAUAAUAACAUCUCUAUUCUUACAGCAAUUUGGCCCAGAUUAUCUAACAGACAUACCUGCAACUUUGGCUCUUUGGUGUUGCCAAACAUUGACAAAAGUGACAAUACUGUUGGUCCUUGUAAAUGGUAAACCAGUCCAAAUAAUAUCAGCUCAUAAAUGAUGUGCAGCUAAUUUAUUUGCAACUUAUACUAGCACAGAAAGAAUGAUAUUUUUUUCACUUUGUAUUUUCCUUUUUCAAGUGUGGUCAGUCACAUUUUCCCAACCCAAAUUUGGAUUUCUAAUUGAGGCCUUUCAAAAAUUACUGGCUAAAAAGAAGAAAAAUGAGUUACCCUUGAGGCAAAAGUUGCCAGCACUUUAGAUUCAGGCAGCAUUUAUAUACAACUGAUUUUUUGAAAAAUGCUUUCUCCCUAAUAAAUUAUCAUGUGUUAUAACAUGUCAUGGAGAUGUGCAUAUAUAACAUUAGACAGGCCACUUUAUAAAUGCUCAGGACUUUUAUAUCCAUCAUCUCAGCAGUCCACAACUACAUACAGUAGCUGAAAAUUAUUUCCAAUCAUCCAUUUUUAAUAGCAAUAUAGAAUUCAUAAAUGAUAUCUGAACUGUUGAGCACUAUAAAGAAUUCAUAGCACAAUUUAUUUAUUUGUCUUUUUGUGGCCAAAUAUGCUACUGUGAUCACUUCAGUCAUAUCCUGGACCAUCUUUGGUUUACUAUGACUAAAAUCAUAGCACCAAACUCCUUUGUCCACGAGAUAUAUAUAUAAUCUUGUAUAAUUUGGUACUAUCUGCUUCUACCAUCCCAACUUUUUUCAUCAAAGUGUUUAAGAACAUAUUCCCUUUACAUGCUGAUCUCCUAGUGGAGAAAGAUUUAUAGUAAAUGCUAAGUAAUAGUAAACUUUCAGGAACUGAAUCCUACUGGGUCAUGGAUUCUGCACAGACAAGGACAAUAAAGCAAUACCUUUGUAAUAUGCAUU